rnacentral:rRNA from 1 species
UACAGAGGGUGCGAGCGUUGUCCGGAAUCACUGGGCGUAAAGGGCGCGUAGGCGGCUCGGUCAGCGUGCGGUGAAAGCCCGGGGCUCAACCCCGGGUCGGCCGUGCGAACUGCUGGGCUGGAGCACUGUAGAGGCAGGUGGAAUUCCGGGUGUAGCGGUGGAAUGCGUAGAGAUCCGGAAGAACACCGGUGGCGAAGGCGGCCUGCUGGGCAGUAGCUGACGCUGAGGAGCGAAAGCGUGGGGAGCGAACAGG